rnacentral:rRNA from 1 species
AGCGAACGCUGGCGGCAGGCUUAACACAUGCAAGUCGAGCGGGCAUCCUUGUGGUGUCAGCGGCAGACGGGUGAGUAACGCGUGGGAACGUGCCCUUCGGUUCGGAAUAACUCAGGGAAACUUGAGCUAAUACCGGAUACGCCCUUUUGGGGAAAGGUUUACUGCCGAAGGAUCGGCCCGCGUCUGAUUAGCUAGUUGGUGAGGUUAUGGCUCACCAAGGCGACGAUCAGUAGCUGGUCUGAGAGGAUGAUCAGCCACACUGGGACUGAGACACGGCCCAGACUCCGACGGGAGGCAGCAGUGGGGAAUAUUGGACAAUGGGGGCAACCCUGAUCCAGCCAUGCCGCGUGAGUGAUGACGGCCUUAGGGUUGUAAAGCUCUUUUCUCCGGGACGAUAAUGACGGUACCGGAGGAAUAAGCCCCGGCGAACUUCGU